rnacentral:rRNA from 1 species
UACGUAGGGUGCGAGCGUUAAUCGGAAUUACUGGGCGUAAAGCGUGCGCAGGCGGUUCUGCAAGUCAGAUGUGAAAGCCCCGGGCUCAACCUGGGAAUUGCAUUUGAAACUACAGGGCUAGAGUGUGUCAGAGGGGGGUAGAAUUCCACGUGUAGCAGUGAAAUGCGUAGAGAUGUGGAGGAAUACCGAUGGCGAAGGCAGCCCCCCUGGGAUAACACUGACGCUCAUGCACGAAAGCGUGGGGAGCAAACAGG